CGAAGUCCAGCUUUCAGAACAUGAGUUUUAAAGUGAAUAUUUUGCAUAAUUUUAAAAUAGUUUGAGACAUUAUUCUGUAGCAGUCAUAACAGUUACAUUUUAAUGUGCUUCACUAAGCCUAUUAUUCCACUUUUCAGUGUUGCUGCUAGAUGAUAGCGCAACAGUAGCUUAACCCUGUCCAGAAGUAAACAUAUUGAUUGAUUAUUUGAGAAGUUAAAACUAGUGUUGAAAUAAAGAAGUACAGAAGUAUGAUUCUUUGUUGAUGCCUUCUGUGUGGAAUGUCUGUGACCACUUCUUCCGUCCUUGCGCUCGUCUGGCCGUAGAUUCAAUGAAUAAUCAAACAGUACAGUUGACAAUGCACCUGUAGCAUUAUCAGCUUUGUGAUCACAUAUAUGCCACGGAGAGAGCGUUUAGAUGCUUUAAGAAGGUCCAGAGAUGCCCAUCACUUGCCUUUAGCAAUAAGCAAGCCAAAAAAAGAGGGAACAAUUUUUCUCAUGAAAUUAAACAACUUGAUUAAAAAGAAGGACAACGUCCGUUAAUUAUGGAUGGGCCCUCUGUCAUUGGACUACACACGUGCAUGAUUUCCUUGAUGUUUCUCAGAUUGCUGGAUUGGUACAGCUGGACUAAUUUCAUGGCCACCCCGUUUUUUGGACUCACACCACUCAACUUUUUUUUUUUUUUUUUUUUUUCUGGAGAUACCAGAAGAACCGAGUUAAUGCUGCAGAGAUUCGAAGCACAGAAGAUUUAAAAAUCGAAUCGCCACAGAAACAGCUGCUGUGACUCAGAAAAUGCUUAAGUCAUGGAGGGAAAUCGAGAAAAGACGUGAUAUUCUCCGAGCAACUAAUGAUACUCAUGUCCAAGCGUUUUAUUACAAAAAUCUUUGAAGUGCUAGAUAAAAUUCAGUUAGUCUUUUUUCCCUGUCUUGUGGGGAACAACAAGGGAAACGUCUCUAACAAUUAUUGUGCCCUUUAUUUUGUAUCAUUUAUAACAUACCUGUAUCUGGUCAAUAAAUUAUGGACACCCUGUA